CGUCUUCAUUGGUCAAGCGGCAAGCGAGUAUUGAACUUUCUAAGGAAUAGGUUUAAACCAAAACUACAACCUAAUUCUUGAAAGUCAACAUUCCCUCCCGCACAAACAACAACGACAAAC
rnacentral:precursor_RNA from 10 species